GAUGAAGAACGUAGUGAAAUGCGGUAAGUAAUGUGAAUUGCAGAAUUCAGUGAAUCAUCGAAUCUUUGAACGCACAUUGCGCCCCUUGGUAUUCCGAGGGGCAUGCCUGUUCGAGCGUCAUUAUAACCCCUCAAGCUCAGCUUGGUGUUGGGGCCUGCUGCACUGGCAGCCCUUAAAAUCAGUGGCGGCGCCAUCUGGCUCUAAGCGUAGUAAUUCUUCUCGCUAUGGAGUCCUGGUGGAUGCUUGCCAUCAACCCCCAAUUUUUCUAUGGUUGACCUCGGAUCAGGUAGGGAUACCCGCUGAACUUAAGCAUAUCAAUAAGCGGAGGA
rnacentral:misc_RNA from 1 species